GUUGAAACACCGGGUCCAAUACGAUCACCGAAGUUAAGCAACGCCGAGCCUGAUCAGUACCUAGAUGGUUGACUGUUUGGCAAUACCAGGUUCUGCAAU